rnacentral:rRNA from 1 species
AGAGUUUGAUCCUGGCUCAGGAUGAACGCUGGCGGCGUGCCUAACACAUGCAAGUCGAGCGAAGCACUUCCAAAGGAUUUCUUCGGAAAGACAGAGGAUUUGACUGAGCGGCGGACGGGUGAGUAACGCGUGGGGAACCUGCCCCAUACAGGGGGAUAACAGUUAGAAAUGACUGCUAAUACCGCAUAAGCGCACAGCACCGCAUGGUGCAGUGUGAAAAACUCCGGUGGUAUGGGAUGGACCCGCGUCUGAUUAGGUAGUUGGUGAGGUAACGGCUCACCAAGCCGACGAUCAGUAGCCGGCCUGAGAGGGUGAACGGCCACAUUGGGACUGAGACACGGCCCAAACUCCUACGGGAGGCAGCAGUGGGGGAUAUUGCACAAUGGGGGGAACCCUGAUGCAGCGACGCCGCGUGAGCGAAGAAGUAUUUCGGUAUGUAAAGCUCUAUCAGCAGGGAAGAAAAUGACGGUACCUGACUAAGAAGCCCCGGCUAACUACGUGCCAGCAGCCGCGGUAAUACGUAGGGGGCAAGCGUUAUCCGGAUUUACUGGGUGUAGAGGGAGCGUAGACGGCAGCGCAAGUCUGAAGUGAAAGGCGGGGGCUUAACCCCCGGACUGCUUUGGAAACUGUGGAGCUAGAGUGUCGGAGAGGUAAGUGGAAUUCCUAGUGUAGCGGUGAAAUGCGUAGAUAUUAGGAGGAACACCAGUGGCGAAGGCGGCUUACUGGACGAUGACUGACGUUGAGGCUCGAAAGCGUGGGGAGCAAACAGGAUUAGAUACCCUGGUAGUCCACGCCGUAAA